rnacentral:rRNA from 1 species
UACGUAGGGUGCAAGCGUUGUCCGGAAUUAUUGGGCGUAAAGAGCUCGUAGGCGGUUUGUCGCGUCUGCUGUGAAAACCCAGGGCUCAACCCUGGGCCUGCAGUCGAUACGGGCAGACUAGAGUCCGGCAGGGGAGACUGGAAUUCCUGGUGUAGCGGUGAAAUGCGCAGAUAUCAGGAGGAACACCGGUGGCGAAGGCGGAUCUCUGGGCCGAUACUGACGCUGAGGAGCGAAAGCGUGGGGAGCGAACAGG